rnacentral:rRNA from 1 species
AAUCAACGCUGGCGGCGUGCCUCAGACAUGCAAGUCGAACGCGAAAGUUUCCUUCGGGGAACAAGUAGAGUGGCGCACGGGUGAGUAACACGUAGGUAAUCUACCUUUGGAUGGGGAAUAACAACCGGAAACGGUUGCUAAUACCGCAUAAUGCAGCGGCACCUAAUGGUGACAGUUGUUAAAGCGGGGGAGUCGAAAGACCUCGCGUCUGAAGAGGAGCCUGCGGCGGAUUAGCUA